rnacentral:rRNA from 1 species
GACGAACGCUGGCGGCGUGCUUAACACAUGCAAGUCGAACGGAAAGGCCCUGCUUUUGUGGGGUGCUAGAGGGGCGAACGGGUGAGUAACACGUGAGUAACCUGCGCUGGGCUUGGGGAUAACUUGAGGAAGCUGGGGCUAAUACAGGCUAGGAGCUCCUGCUGCAGGGGGGGGGUUGGAAAGUUUCGGCGGUGGUGGGUGGACGCGGGGCUUAUCAGCUGGUGGGUGGGGGAGUGGCUAACGAGGGCUUCGGCGGGUAGCCGGCCUGAGAGGGGGGUCGGCCACAUUGGGACUGAGGUACGGCCCAGACUGCUACGGGAGGCAGUAGUGGGGAAUAUUGCACAAUGGGCGGAAGCCUGAUGCAGCAGCGCCGCGUGCGGGAUGACGGCCUUCGGGUGGUAAACCGCUUUCGCUUGUGACCAAGCGUGAGUGACGGUAAUGGGUAAAGAAGCACCGGCUAACUACGUG